UGCCAGCCGCCGCGGUAAUACGGAGGGUGCAAGCGUUAUCCGGAAUCAUUGGGUUUUAAGGGUCCGUAGGCAGGAAUCUAAGUCAGUGGUGAAAUCUUGCAGCUCAACUGUAAAAUUGCCAUUGAUACUGGAUUUCUUGAAUUAGUGUGAAGUGGUUAGAAUGUGUAGUGUAGCGGUGAAAUGCAUAGAUAUUACUUAGAAUACCGAUUGCGAAAGCAGUCUACUACGUAUAUACUGACGCUGAGGGACGAAAGCGUGGGGAGCGAACAGGAUUAGAUA
rnacentral:rRNA from 1 species